GCGGGCGUAGCCAAGGGGUUAAGGCAGAGGAUUGUGGAUCCUCUAUUCGUGGGUUCAAGUCCCAUCGUCCGCC
rnacentral:tRNA from 1 species